AGUAACACGUGGAUAACCUACCUAUAAGACUGGGAUAACUUCGGGAAACCGGAGCUAAUACCGGAUAAUAUUUUGAACCGCAUGGUUCAAAAGUGAAAGACGGUCUUGCUGUCACUUAUAGAUGGAUCUGCGCUGCAUUAGCUAGUUGGUAAGGUAACGGCUUACCAAGGCAACGAUGCAUAGCCGACCUGAGAGGGUGAUCGGCCACACUGGAACUGAGACACGGUCCAG
rnacentral:rRNA from 1 species